UACGUAGGGGGCGAGCGUUAUCCGGAUUCAUUGGGCGUAAAGCGCGCGUAGGCGGCCGCCUAAGCGGAACCUCUAACCCCGGGGCUCAACCUCGGGCCGGGUUCCGGACUGGGCGGUUCGAGUGCGGUAGAGGAGAGCGGAAUUCCCGGUGUAGCGGUGGAAUGCGCAGAUAUCGGGAAGAACACCGAUGGCGAAGGCAGCUCUCUGGGCCGUCACUGACGCUGAGGCGCGAAAGCUGGGGGAGCGAACAGG
rnacentral:rRNA from 1 species